rnacentral:rRNA from 1 species
UACGUAGGUGGCAAGCGUUGUCCGGAAUUACUGGGUGUAAAGGGCGUGUAGGCGGGGAUGCAAGUCAGAUGUGAAAUUCCGGGGCUCAACCUCGGAGCUGCAUCUGAAACUGCAACUCUUGAGUACUGGAGAGGAAAGUGGAAUUCCUAGUGUAGCGGUGAAAUGCGUAGAGAUUAGGAGGAACACCAGUGGCGAAGGCGGCUUUCUGGACAGUAACUGACGCUGAGGCGCGAAAGCGUGGGGAGCGAACAGG